rnacentral:rRNA from 1 species
UACGUAGGGUGCAAGCGUUGUCCGGAGUAACUGGGCGUAAAGCGCACGCAGGUGCCGCGCAAGUGCCGUGUGAAAGCGCCGGGCUUAACCCGGCGAGGCCAGGGCAGACUGCACGGCUCGAGGGCGGCAGAGGUCGUUGGAAUUGCCGGUGUAGUGGUGAAAUGCUUAGAUAUCGUCAAGAACACCUAUUGCGAAGGCAGCUUACUAAGCUUUAACUGACGCUGAUGCACGAAAGUGUGGGGAUCAAACAGG